AUGGGAAAGGAAAAGACUCAUAUCAAUAUUGUCAUCAUGGACAUGUAGAUUCAGGCAAGUCCACUACUACUGGCCAUCUGAUCUACAAAUGCAGUGGCAUCAACAAAAGAACCACUGAAAAAUUCAGAAGAAGGUUGCUAAGAUAGGAAAGGGCUCCUUCAAGUAUGCCUGGGUCUUGGAUAAACUGAAAGCUGAAUGGUAUCACCACUGAUAUUUCCCUGUGGAAAUUUGAGACCAGUAAGUACUACAUGAUUAUCAUUGAUGCCCCAGGAUACAGAGUCUUCAUCAAAAACACAAUUACGGGCACAUCUCAAGCUGACUGUGCUCUCUUGAUAAUUGCUGCUGGUGCUGGUGAAUUGAAGUUGGUAUCUCCAAGAAUGGGCAGACCCAUGAGCAUGCCCUUCUGGCUUACAUGCUGGCUAUGAAACAACUACUUGUUAGUGUUAACAAAAUGGAUUCCACUUAGUCACCCUACCACCAGACGAGAUACAAGGAAAUCAGCACUUACAUUAAGAAAAUUGGCUACAACCCUGACACAGUAGCAUUUGUGCCAAUUUCUGGUUGGCAUGGUGACAACAUGCUGGAGCCAAGUGCUAACAUGCCUUGGUUCUAGGAAUGGAAAGUCACCUGUAAAGAUAGCAAUGCCAGUGGAACCAUGCUGCUUGAAGCUCUGGACUUUAUUCUACCAUCAGAUCAUCCAACUUAUGAGCCCUUGUGUCUGUGUCUCCAGGAUGUCUACAAGAUUGUUGGUAUUGGUACUGUACCUGUGGGCCGAGCAGAGACUGGUGUUCUCAAACCUGGCAUGGUGGUCAACUUUGCUCCAGUCAAUGUUAGAACUGAAGUAAAGUCUAUUGAAAUGUACCAUGAAGCUUUGAGUGAAUCUCUUCCUGGGGACAAUGUGGGCCUCAAUGUGAACAAGAAUGUGUCUGCCAAAGAUGUUCAUCAUGGCAGUGUUGCUGGUGACAGCAAAAAUGACCCACCAAUGGAAGCAUCUGGGUUCACUGCUCAGGUGAUUAUCCUGAACCAUCUAGGCCAAAUCAGUGCUGGCUAUGCCGUGUACUAGAUUGUCACACAUCUCACAUUCCUUGCAAGUGUUCUGAGCGGAAAGAAAAGAUGACCAUUCUGGUAAGAAGCUAGAAUAUGGCCCUAAAUUCUUGAAAUCUGAUGAUGCUGCCAUGAUUGAUGUAGUUCCUAGCAAGACCAUGUGUGUUAAGAGCUUCUCUGAAUAUUCUAUCUGACUAUUCUUCUCUGGGUCAUUUUCUGGGGAAUCACUGAGACAGACAGUUGCCAUGGGUGCAGAGGACAAGAAGGUGGCUAGAGCUGGCAAGGUCACCAAGUCUGUCCAGAAAGCUCAGAAGUCUAAAUGA